ACGAAGCAAUAAAGACGUAGAAUUUAAGAAGAAAAUCUUUUUCGUCUCUAGGGCAAACAUUCUGCAGGAUAAGUGCAGAAGAAAAGUUAUUAUUAUUUCCUCGAGUACUAAUUCAAUAAUUGAAAUGAAUUUUUAUUUUUACGAAAGUAAACAUUGUAGCGGCGGUUUUUAACGUUUGUUCGAAAUUCACAGUUUGUUUCUUGCGCUCUUGGAUCGUGUCGGGUUUUUAUGCCGUUUGCAAAAGAAUUUUCAGUUCCUUUCCAAUGUUUGUUAUCAAGCUGGAGAGACUCCCAGGAGCAGCUGUUCCAGUGGCUUAUACGAAACAUCCUUCAAUUUAUAUGCUAAUUAAAUGACGAAAUUUGAUACACGUAAUGCAUCCGUCUUUUAUUUACAAAAACAGAAUUUUUUGUUUUGCUUUAUGUUGAUAUAGAAGCAAUGAAAAGCAAGUAUUGAAAAUAUUCAUUUAAAAAACUAUAUACAGUAUAUCUUAGAAAGUGUGGCAAUUAUUUAUAGUCUUAAUGCCCUCUUAUUCUUGAAAUAUCAUUAAAAAUCCUAAUAUUUCAGAAUGCAAUAAAAAUUUUUCUUGAAUUGAAAAACUGCAUUCAAAACCAGCAAUGUUGACUAUUUUUCCAUAUUUUAUUCUUUGUAAGAGUUUUUCUGUAGGUGUAUUUCACUAUUUUCCUGUAAUAAAUUUAUAAUGUGCAAAUCUAAACUAAAGCAUAAACUAAUAACUAUAGUAUCUUUUACAUUUUUUAUCAUCAAUAUAUUAUAUUCUUCUGAUUAAUUGCUAUGUUAAUAGGUUUUAGAAUUUAUUAGAUUAAUCAAUAAAGCUGCAUCUACUUUAAAAUCACAGAAGGUGAAAGUUGCAGAAACAUAAAAUAAAUUUUUAAAUUACAUAAUGUUUGUAACAGAAGAGGAAUUAUUAGCUACAUAAUGAAUUAUAUCAUCUCAACAUGUAGUUAAUGAUAAAGCAGUUAGCAAGAUACAUAAAAUAUUCAAAUAAUAAAUGAAAUUAUGAUUUAUAUUUUAUAUUAAAAGUUCUUUACAAAUGAUACAAAUGAUCAUAUUGUUUUGAAUUUAAUUUUCAGAAUUAUUAAGAAAUACAUUUUAAUUUUUUCAAAUUCUGAACAGACGCAAAUUUUGAAAUAAUCAUUCUAU